AUAGAAAGACAACCACAAGAUAGGAGUUUACAAAGCCCAGGUUCUUUCUGAUGAGUGUUGAGAUUCAUCUACAUAAUAUCUUUAUUACUUACAGGGAAGGGUGAUGUUAUUGGGGAAGACGUGCAAAUGCCAGUGAAGACAGAGAGAUACAGUAGGCCUGAAAUGGUUAGAAAUAGAAGAAUAGAAUGCACAUUCAAGGCCCCGAGAGACGUGGAAACUGGACACUCGCUGGAGGAGGAAGCAGGCUGGGACGUGGGAGCGCUGAAAUGCUUUCAGUUGAGCCAUGAGCCUGAAAAACACACGAUUCCUUUCCCAGAGUAGAAACUAUUUUUCCCUGAUUAAAAUCGAUGCCGUGAAACUGGGCUGAACUCUGGCUGCCAGGCUUUAUGCCACAGGGAAUUUUGUGUCAGAGCGAUCUCAACCUCUUCUGGGAGGUGAUUUCUGAAGUACUGCACCAAAAAUGAUUUCACUUAUAACACAAAUGCACAGCAUGGACCACUUAGGAGUUAAGGAACGAACCAGGCACGGUAGCUUACACUUGUAAUCCCAGCACUUGGGGAGGCUGAGACAGGAGGAUCACUUGAACUCUGAAGACGGAGGUGGGAGGAUCUCUUGACCCCAGGAGGUCAAGGCUGCAGUGAGCCAAGAUUGUGCCACUGCACUCCAGUCUGGGUGACAGAGUGAGACCCUGUCUCAAAACAAAACAAACAAAGGAGUUCAGAAAUGAUCUGGCCUUUAUAUUCCUGCCUGAUCGUCAGUGUAUUCACCAGGACGGAACACUGACUGGAAAUCAGGUCCUAGCUCCACUCCUGGCUGGGAAAGAGCAUGAAGUGUUCUAGGAAGAAAAGUCCUCCUGGAAGACUUGGCAACAGCCAGGAGUCCUGAGUGAACCGCUGUCCUUUUGAAUCCCUGAGACGGGCUGCAGGGAUGAGGGGCUAGAACUGACAGGAAGACAGGACAGAGAGCAGCACAGCCUCAGAAGUGCAGGACAGAGGUGACCCAGGCAGGCAUGACGGGCUGUGGCUUCCUGCCCUCUGCUCUCACAGCACCCCUGAUCCCACUCACUGUGGUACCACGCAGAUGGGUUGGGGCCUGUAAAUGUCAGGUGGGACCAGCCAGAGGAGCUUUGCUGCCAGUACUGGCAUGUCAGGAUGGGGGUCUGGUGGUCAGCACCUCCUCUGGCCAGUGGUCUUGUGGGGAGAGGCAUCCAUGUGGCCUCCUCCUCUGUCGGGAGGGCUGAUGUGCAGAGAAGUACGGACUUGGAGGGCAGCUGGAUGAGCUGGGGCUUGCUCAGGGACACAGGUCUGUGUGUUGUGCCAAGGCUGACCCCCUCAUCCCACACCAGACCCUGCCUCUGACUCUGUGACCUCAGCACCUGACUUCUGUCUCUCAGGUCAUCUCCCAGUCAGUAAAACAUUUGUGUGACGUGAGGAGGGGCACUGAAGUGGGUGAUCUUUAAGGCCAGAUGUCUCUGUAAAAGCCUUGACUAUCGGAAGCACUGGGCUAGGGCAGUGUAGUACCCAGGGGGAUGAGGUGCAUCAGAGCAGCACCUGCUGAGGCCAAGAACGGAGGUGGCUGCUGCCGGCCUCCGGGAGGUCCCCUUAGGGAAGCAUUUCUUCAGGGGUGGCCCAGGGACCUCCGGCAUCAGGGCCUGCAUGGGGAUUCUGUGCCAGCCCAGCCCUGCUAAGUCCCAGCCUUGGGAACCUGAGGAGGGUAUCUGCCUAUUUUUCUUUUAAACAUGUUUCUUAGGUUAUUCACUAAAGUUUGAGAACCACUGCUUUGUGGCUUUGAAAUGUUCAUUUGAAUUUUUCUAUGAUUACUAAGAUUUUUGCCCUUAAGGCUCUGUAUAUAAACAACAUACUGUAUAAAAUAAACUGGGAAUGGCGUGAAAACA
rnacentral:lncRNA from 1 species